rnacentral:rRNA from 1 species
UACGUAGGGGCAAGCGUUGUCCGGAUUCAUUGGCGUAAAGAGCGUGUAGGCGGCCAGGUAGGUCGGUUGUGAAAACUGGAGGCUCAACCUUCAGAGGUCGACCGAAACCAUCUGGCUAGAGUCCGGGAGAGGAGAGUGGAAUUCCGUGGUGUAGCGGUGAAAUGCGCAGAUAUCAGGAGGAACACCGGUGGCGAAGGCGGAUCUCUGGGCCAUUACUGACGCUGGAGGAGCGAAAGCGUGGGGAGCAAACAGG